UGGGGAAUAUUGCGCAAUGGGGGAAACCCUGACGCAGCAACGCCGCGUGAAUGAAGAAGGCCUUAGGGUUGUAAAGUUCUGUUUACGGGGACGAUAAUGACGGUACCCGUGGAGGAAGCCACGGCUAACUACGUGCCAGCAGCCGCGGUAAUACGUAGGUGGCAAGCGUUGUCCGGAUUUACUGGGCGUAAAGGAUGCGUAGGCGGAUGUUUAAGUGAGAUGUGAAAUACCCGGGCUCAACUUGGGUGCUGCAUUUCAAACUGGACAUCUAGAGUGCGGGAGAGGAAAGCGGAAUUCCUAGUGUAGCGGUGAAAUGCGUAGAGAUUAGGAAGAACACCAGUGGCGAAGGCGGCUUUCUGGACCGUAACUGACGCUGAGGCAUGAAAGCGUGGGGAGCAAACA
rnacentral:rRNA from 2 species